rnacentral:misc_RNA from 1 species
AUGAAGUAAAGAAAUCUGGCUUAGGUGAGGAGACAGAACAUGUGCCAAAUGAAAAGUUAAAGCAAGUUGAAGACAAAGAAGAAGAUGGAUUCAUAACAGUAGUUAGGUUCUCUGAGGAUAAUCCGGUUGGAAAAGCUACAGCACUUAUUAACUGGAAGUUAAUGGUGGUGGAGUUUUCACCUGAAGAAGAUGCUGUAUUCAUACUUCUUCUUUGCAUGUCAAUUAUCAGAAGCAUAUCAGAAAUGAAAAAGGAAGAUGUAGGAAGCCUGUUGAUUAGAAGAAGAAUAAAAGAAGCAAAGCUUGGUGACAGAGAUUGGGGCUCAGUGGUUGUCCACGCUUCUUCAUAUUCUCCAUCGAUCUCUUCACCUCACCUUCAGCCUUGGUAUUGGAAUGUGCAAGCAGUGAUGGGAUCACAAGGUGUAGACAAUAUCCCAAGGCUACA